GAUGAAGAACGCAGCGAAAUGCGAUACGUAAUGUGAAUUGCAGAAUUCAGUGAAUCAUCGAGUCUUUGAACGCACAUUGCGCCCGCUGGUACUCCGGCGGGCACGCCUGUCCGAGCGUCAUUUCAACCCUCAAGCCCUCCUUCGGGAUGGGCCUGGUGUUGGGGCUCGGCCGCCAUCUCCGGCGGCCGUCCCCUAAAUACAGUGGCGGUCACGUCGCGACUCCUUUGCGUAGUAGAAACACCUCGCUCCGGAUAGCAACGCGGUCCACGCCGUAAAACCCCCAAUUUUCAAUGGUUGACCUCGGAUCAGGUGGGAAUACCCGCUGAACUUAAGCAUAUCAAUAAGCGGAGGA
rnacentral:misc_RNA from 1 species